rnacentral:tRNA from 1 species
UCGGGUGAUUAGCUCAGUUGGUAGAGCAGCUGACUCUUAAUCAGCGGGUCCACGGUUCGAGCCCGUGAUCACCCACCA